rnacentral:rRNA from 1 species
AGCGAACGCUGGCGGCGUGGAUUAGGCAUGCAAGUCGAACGGGACUGAGCCGCAAGUGUCAGUCUAGUGGCGAAAGGGUGAGGAAUACAUCGACCAUCUACCCUUCGGAUGGGGACAACAGCUGGAAACGGCUGCUAAUACCCGAUAGUCCGGUAACGGUUAAAGGUGGGGACCUUCGGGCCUGCCACCUGAGGAGGAGUCGAUGGCCUAUCAGCUUGUUGGUGGGGUAAAAGCCUACCAAGGCGAAGACGGGUAGCCGGACUGAGAGGUUGGCCGGCCACACUGGGACUGAGACACUGCCCAGACUCCUACGGGAGGCUGCAGUCGAGAAUCUUCCGCAAUGGGCGAAAGCCUGACGGAGCGACGCCGCGUGCAGGAAGAAGGCCCUCGGGUUGUAAACUGCUGUCACACGUUAUGAAAAAAUUUAGGUUAAUACCCUGAGUCUUGACGUAAGCGUGGAAGGAAGUCACGGCUAACUUCGUGCCAGCAGCCGCGGUAAGACGAAGGUGGCAAACGUUGCUCGGAAUCACUGGGCAUAAAGCGCGCGUAGGUGGCUUGGUAAGCGGAGAAUGAAAUCCCAUGGCUCACCCAUGGAACUGUUCUUCGAACUGCCUUGCUUGAGGGCGGGAGGGGGAAGUGGAAUUCCUGGUGUAGCGGUGAAAUGCGUAGAUAUCAGGAGGAACGCCGGUGGCGAAAGCGACUUCCUGGCCCGUUCCUGACACUGAGGCGCGAAAGCUAGGGGAGCAAACAGGAUUAGAUACCCUGGUAGUCCUAGCUGUAAACGAUGGGCACUGGGUUGAGGGGGAUCCAAUGCCAUCUCAGCCGAAGCUAAUGUGAUAAGUGCCCCGCCUGGGGAGUACGGUCGCAAGACUAAAACUCAAAGGAAUUGACGGGGGGCUCACACAAGCGGUGGAGCAUGUGGUUUAAUUCGAAGCAACGCGAAGAACCUUACCCGGGUUUGAAAUCUACGGAUGCUGCCUGUGAAAGCAGGAUUUGCUGCCUUUCGGGGUGAAACGUAGACAGGUGUUGCAUGGCUGUCGUCAGCUCGUGUCGUGAGAUGUCGGGUUAAGUCCCUCAACGAGCGAAACCCUUGUCUCUAGUUGCCAGCGGUUCGGCCGGGGACUCUAGAGAGACUGCCGUUGUGAAAACGGAGGAAGGUGGGGAUGACGUCAAGUCAUCAUGGCCUUUAUGUCCGGGGCUACACACGUGCUACAAUGGCCGGUACAGAGGGAAGCGAAACCGCGAGGUCAAGCAAACCCCACAAAGCCGGCCCCAGUUCGGAUUGGAGGCUGCAACUCGCCUCCAUGAAGUUGGAAUCGCUAGUAAUCGCGGAUCAGCUACGCCGCGGUGAAUAUGUUCCUGGGCCUUGUACG